rnacentral:rRNA from 1 species
UACGAAGGGGGCGAGCGUUGUUCGGAUUUACUGGGCGUAAAGGGCGCGCAGGCGGCAGACCAAGUCAGGCGUGAAAGCCCCGGGCUUAACCUGGGAGGUGCGUCUGGGACUGGUAUGCUAGAGUUCGGGAGAGGAGAGUGGAAUUCCCAGUGUAGAGGUGAAAUUCGUAGAUAUUGGGAAGAACACCGGUGGCGAAGGCGGCUCUCUGGACCGAGACUGACGCUGAGGCGCGAAAGCAUGGGGAGCAAACAGG